rnacentral:rRNA from 1 species
UACAGAGGUCUCAAGCGUUGUUCGGAUUCAUUGGGCGUAAAGGGUGCGUAGGCGGCGCGGUAAGUCGGAUGUGAAAUCUCGGAGCUUAACUUCGAAACUGCAUUCGAUACUGCCGUGCUUGAGGACUGGAGAGGAGACUGGAAUUUACGGUGUAGCGGUGAAAUGCGUAGAUAUCGUAAGGAAGACCAGUGGCGAAGGCGGGUCUCUGGACAGUUCCUGACGCUGAGGCACGAAGGUCAGGGGAGCAAACGGG